CGCAGCCUGAUGGAGCACACCGCGUGAGUGAAGAAGGGUUUCGGCUCGUAAAACUCUGUUGUUGGAGAAGAACGUGCGUAAGAGUAACUGUUUACGCAGUGACGGUAUCCAACCAGAAAGUCACGGCUAACUACGUGCCAGCAGCCGCGGUAAUACGUAGGUGGCAAGCGUUAUCCGGAUUUAUUGGGCGUAAAGCGAGCGCAGGCGGUUGCUUAGGUCUGAUGUGAAAGCCUUCGGCUUAACCGAAGAAGUGCAUCGGAAACCGGGCGACUUGAGUGCAGAAGAGGACAGUGGAACUCCAUGUGUAGCGGUGGAAUGCGUAGAUAUAUGGAAGAACACCAGUGGCGAAGGCGGCUGUCUGGUCUGCAACUGACGCUGAGGCUCGAAAGCAUGGGUAGCGAACAGGAUUAGAUACC
rnacentral:rRNA from 1 species